rnacentral:rRNA from 1 species
CCUACGGGGCGCUGCAGUGGGGAAUAUUGCACAAUGGGGGAAACCCUGAUGCAGCCACGCCGCGUGAGUGAAGAAGUAUUUCGGUAUGUUAAGCUCUAUCAGCAGGGAAGCGAAUGACGGUACCUGACUAAGACGCCCCGGCUAACUACGUGCCAGCAGCCGCGGUAAUAAGCGGGGGGCCAGCGUUAUCCGGAUUUACUGGGUGUAAAGGGGGGGUAGAGGGCUGGCCAAGUCGGGCGUGAAAGCCCGGGGGUUAACCCCGUACGGGCGUUGGAAACUGGUCGGCUGGAGUGAGCGAGAGGUAGGCGGAAUGCGUGGUGUAGCGGUGAAAUGCAUAGAUAUCAGGAGGAACACCGGUUGCGAAGGCAGCAUGCUGGCGAGUAACUGACGUUGAGGCUCGAAAGCGUGGGGAGCAAACAGGAUUAGAUACCCGAGUAGUC